rnacentral:lncRNA from 1 species
ACGUGGGCUUAACGUUUCUCAGUGCACUUGAAGAUAAUGUCUAACAGUGCAAGCAGUGGAGACACAAAGGGGAAAUGAACAGGAAUGGUUCAGCUAAUGGAAAAUUGAGGACAGAGAUGCAGCCACACAGAACAGCUCUGGGUAGGAAAGGGCCAACUCGCCCUACCAUGUGUAAGGUGUUAGAAGACAGAAGGGCUUGCCCCCUAAAUUCUUUUCGGAUUAGUUUUGGGGCCCGUGUUGUCAUUUAUUAGAAUAUUGGCAAUAACUCAAAAAGAUUCCUUCCAAAAGCCAAGAUAAGUUCUACCGAGUACAAAAGAAUAUGCUACUGAUGGAACUGUAACGGACUUCUGUAAAUGGGUCAGAAUUCCAGGCCUCAGAAAGAAACUACUCUCAAGGGUCUGCAAAUGAGUUCUCGGCAGCACAUUUGCUGAUGAAUCUUUCAGUAAUAUAAACUAGUCAUUAAUCAGCAAAAAAUUUAAACAUACUUUAAGUACCAUCUGGACUUUCUGGAACUCCCAAAGUAUAGGUCCCGUCUCACCAUUUUCAUUCAGUCUGGGUCAACCUAAGAAAAGCUGGAUCUAAUUAGCUUUCACAACUCAACCAUAUCCAAGUGUCCUCUCCCAUCUUGUCUGCCACAUGCCUGCUGGCAUUAGUUACACCACCACAGUGUUGCACCUUAGAUCAGAUGGCCAGGAUUGGUGGGACUUUUCUAUCCAGCUAAAGGAGGAAAUAGACAUGAAAGGAAGAAGUAAUCUGCUAAUCUAUGAAAAUUUUCACUAGGUCCCUACAUAGCCAGUGAAGGGACUAAAUACAAAAUAAGAAAUGAAAACAUUCCUAUGUAUUAAGACUGUGCCCCUGCCAAAAACAUACAUCUACGACAAGUAAGCACACAACAUACAACUCUUCUACAAGCUGUUGCCUACAGAGACAAGAAGGGGAGAAGGAGAAGUGGUCACACGCUCAGCCUCAAUCUGCAUUUGGUACCUUGACAUCCACCCAAAGAACUAGAUUUAAAAGAUCGGUAACAUGAAAACCUCUGUAUACAUUUCUUAAAAGUCAUACUCUGUUCUUUCCCAUUAACCACUACCCCACCCAGUAAUCCCUCCCUCAGAGGGGAAAAAAAAAUCCAAUUAUUAAACUCUUGCCCACACAGGCAGUGAGGGAAGGGAGCAGAGGAGAUCUAUCAUACAUUUGGACCUCCACGUUUCACUAUGUACCUACAGAGCCCAGCAAAGGACUGGGUACUAAAUGAGAGAAUAUAAGGCAUAGCAAACAUAAUAUAUAUUUUAAAAGUAUACACACACACCCCCCAUGCUCCCCACCAUCUCUUCUUCCAUUGCCCAUUAUGCAACGAGGGAAGGGGGCAGGGGAGGGGAGAUUUUUCACAGAAUCAAUCUCAACUUUCAUUAAGUUCCUAAAUAGUCAUGCAGAAGAUUAGGUUCAAAAUGAAUGCUGAAAGAGGCAAAAACACUAAAAGAGGCAAAAACAAGCUCAUGCUCCAUUAAAACCCUCAAAAACAAAGCCAAAUCCUAAAGUACUCUUACACUAACGCCCAGGCACCCAGGUGAUAGGGGAAGGGGAAAAACAAAGACCUCUGGAUCUGGGCCUCUACAAGUCGAAAGAAAACACUAGGUUUGAAGCGAGAGAACAAAAAACCCACAGACAUUUAUAUAUGUGAAAACAAUGCAGCCCAGAAAUCCCCUGCCACCCUGUUUCCCCCCUCCCCCAACCCUGACCCCAGUCAAAACAACUAUGCUAGUCAUUGCCCAGACAGGCAAGAAGGGAAGGGGAGGAGAGAUUUUUUUCAUAGAAUGAACCUUAAUUUUCAUCAUGUGCCUAAGUAUCCAUGGAGAGGUUUAGGUACAAAACGAAGUAACAGGAAAGAGGAACAAAAACCCCUUAUAUACAUUUUAAAAAGUACAUAUUUCUAUCCUCGCAGGGGAGGGCAUGACAGAGGUAAAGAUAGUAAUCUAGACCAAAACUAUUGCCCACUGAGGCACCAAGAAAUGGGGAAGAGAUUUUCAUACAUCAGGACCUCCAGAUGCAAGCAAGGGAUGCGUACUAAAUUGAAAAACACAAUGUAGAAACACAUUGUACAUAUACAGGUUUCGAAAGUAUAUAUCCUGCCCUUUCCACCCCUGCCCCCACCAAACUUCAAAAGCUCAAACUUCUGUCAAAUUAUUGCCUACAUAUAAAAGGGGGAGGGGAGGAGACUGCUGCACAUACAGAACUGCAUGGUUCACUAGCAACCCAUACGUCCAAGUGAAGGACUGGUACCCAGUGAAAUAUAAUAAGGAAGUAAAAACAUGAAUAUAUAUAUUUAAAAAGUACCCCCAUCCCCCAAAAGAAGGGCUGAAACUAAUUAGCUAAGCCUCUAGCCAUUGCCCACAUGGGCAACAAGGGAAAGGGAUGAGAGGAGACUGUUAUACAUCCAGACUCCUGUGUCUCAUUAGGUACCUUCCAGUCUGGGCACCCAAUGAAAGGAUUCAACAUAGUAGUAAAAGCAGGAAUGUACAGGAAGCAAGUACACAGCCCUGCCUGCCACCCGCCCCCCCGCCCCCAAACCACACUCCAGCAACUACUCUACUAGCCAUUGCCCCAUGGGCAACACAGGAAGGGGACAAGAGGAGACUGUCAUACAUGCGGACCUCCAUGUCU